rnacentral:rRNA from 1 species
UCGAGAAUCAUUCACAAUGGACGAAAGUCUGAUGGUGCAACGCCGCGUGGAGGAUGACGGUCCUAGGAUUGUAAACUCCUGUCAUUGGGGAGUAAGACUUAUUAGUUAAGAGCUGGUAAGUUUGAUAGUACCCAAAGAGGAAGGGACGGCUAACUUCGUGCCAGCAGCCGCGGUAAUACGAAGGUCCCAAGCGUUGUUCGGAAUCACUGGGCGUAAAGCGUGUGUAGGCUGCGCGGAAAGUCAAAUGUGAAAGCCCGGGGCUCAACCUCGGAACUGCAUUCGAUACUCCCGUGCUAGAGUAAUGGAGAGGUAAGUGGAAUUCUCGGUGUAGCAGUGAAAUGCGUGGAUAUCGAGAGGAACAUCAAUGGCGAAGGCAACUUACUGGACAUUGACUGACGCUGAGACACGAAGGCUAGGGUAGCGAAAGGGAUUAGAUACCCCCGUAGUCC